GGCCCUUCGGGGUACUCGAGCGGCGAACGGGUGAGUAACACGUGAGUAAUCUGCCCCUAGCUCUGGGAUAGCUCCGGGAAACCGGGAUUAAUACCGGAUACGACCACCUUAGACAUCUUUUGUGGUGGAAAGAAUUUCGGCUAGGGAUGAGCUCGCGGCCUAUCAGCUUGUUGGUGGGGUAACGGCCUACCAAGGCGACGACGGGUAGCCGGCCUGAGAGGGCGACCGGCCACACUGGGACUGAGACACGGCCCAGACUCCUACGGGAGGCAGCAGUGGGGAAUAUUGCGCAAUGGGCGAAAGCCUGACGCAGCGACGCCGCGUGGGGGAUGAAGGCCUUCGGGUUGUAAACCCCUUCCAGCAGGGACGAAGCGAAAGUGACGGUACCUGCAGAAGAAGCGCCGGCCAACUACGUGCCAGCAGCCGCGGUAACACGUAGGGCGCAAGCGUUGUCCGGAAUUAUUGGGCGUAAAGAGCUCGUAGGCGGUCUGUUGCGUCCGCUGUGAAAACUCGGGGCUUAACCCCGAGCCUGCAGUGGAUACGGGCAGACUAGAGGUAGGUAGGGGAGAAUGGAAUUCCCGGUGUAGCGGUGAAAUGCGCAGAUAUCGGGAGGAACACCGGUGGCGAAGGCGGUUCUCUGGGCCUUACCUGACGCUGAGGAGCGAAAGCGUGGGGAGCGAACAGGAUUAGAUACCCUGGUAGUCCACGCCGUAAACGUUGGGCGCUAGGUGUGGGAUCCUUCCACGGAUUCCGUGCCGCAGCUAACGCAUUAAGCGCCCCGCCUGGGGAGUACGGCCGCAAGGCUAAAACUC
rnacentral:rRNA from 1 species